rnacentral:rRNA from 1 species
AACCAGCACUUCAAGUGGUCGGGACGUAUAUUGGGUCUAAAGCGCUCGUAGCUGGGCAAGUAGGUUCCUGGUUAAAUCCGGCGACUCAAUCGUCGGCCUGCUGGGAAUACCGCUAGUCUUGAAAGCGGGAGAGGACAGCGGUAGUCAUGGGGCAGGGGUGAAAUCCAGUGAUCCCAUGGCGACCACCGAUGGCGAAGGCAGCUGUCUGGAACGUCUUUGACAGUGAGGGGCGACAGCCAGGGGAGCGACCCGGAUUAGAUACCCUCGUA